CUGUGGUCUGUGUAGGUGUCUUCUUUUUGCAAAACUUAUGCUGAGUUGUAGCUUUGAAUCCCUGUUGCAGCAGCAGUCCCUGCCUGGAGGAAACCCUUCUCCCUCUGCCUCUGCUGCAUCUGGAGGCAUUGUGAGAACUUUGGAGCAUGAAGGCCUUUGGACAUCUCAGCAAUGGUGAAUUUUGUCUCCAAAAUUCCUGGUCUAUUUUUGAAAUAUGACCAUGAUGUCAGUGUGAUUUGAGGGAGGGAGAACUUAUCCAGAACUCAGCCCUUCUGGAGGUCUCAGAUGAGAACACAUCCCUCGAAGAUUCUGCUGCUGACAACAGCUCCUGGCCAGUCUGUGCAGCUCACACAGAGGAGGACUUGGCUCAGCCUUCCCUACAUUUGCCUUGAAUGCAACAUCCAUGCUUGAUCAUAGCUGGAGCUCAUCAAAGCAGAAAAUAAGCAGAAGAACCAACCACCUGCCACUCGUUCACCUCAACAAAACCAGGCUGGGGCUGAGAAUCAAUAGCAACGGCGCUGAGCCUUUGUGGAACCCAGCCUUCCUGCAGGGAUGGUCCCGGCUGAAGCCAGGCAGGGAGGACGGCAGCAUGUGGGAAAUGCAGUGGCGCAGACCCUGAUGGAUGUCAUGGUGAGCUAUUUUCAGACUUUAUCUCGCUAGCCUCUGACAAAAAUGUGCUAUGGAGCAGAGCUUAUCAUGUGCAAUUUGGCCAUGGGGCCAGUGAGGGGACAGUGGAGUUGGGGCAGGUGACAUGUUGCCAGCAGAGCAGAGUGGUGGGUGCUGCUGGUGCAGAUGUGAGUGUGUGCCACAGGGGAUGGGCAUGGACAGGGUCCAACCCAGCCAGCAAAAAACAGGUAUCUGAGCCUAAAUCCCAGCCUAGGUGUGAAGCAGGGGAGUGCCAGCUUUGCUUUGCUCCUGGCUUCCUGGUGUCACCCAGAGUAUGAGGAUGGAGCAUGAAGCUGGGACCUUCCCUGCCUCCAGUUUCUGAACUUUGGAUCUUCCUAAACAGGGUUGAUUGGUCAGGUGAAUGAUGCUGCCUCCUGUAGUCCCAUUUCCCCAUGGCUAUGCUCAAGGCAUGAAGAGCAGAGGAGAUGAGUGUGCCAGGGUGUGAGCCCUGGGGUUGCCACCACUACCAGCUCCUGCUGGCUCCCCCAGGGAGGGCAAGGGGUGCUGGGCUGGGCUGGGCACUGCAGACAAGCCCUGCAAGGUGAGGAGGUGCAGCUCUGCAAACACAAACCGACAGCAGCGCCCUGCACUGCUGGGACCCAGGGGCUCUGGGAGUUAUCACCCUCAGCCUUUCGGCUGCUGGGGCUGGAGAUUAGGGAGCUGCUCCUUAUCAGCCCCCGGUCCUGCCCCUGUGGGGCUCCCCUUUCGGUCUUACUCACUGCAGAAAUGAGUAAGCCUGUUGUAACAACCGUGCUGGGACCUGUGGGGCAGCAGGCUGUGCUGAUGGGUUGGAGGUUUGUAAAGCAUCUCAGCACAGUGACCUGCAGCAGCCAGAACACACUGCAGACACCCACCAGAACUGUGCUGGAGCUCAGGGCCCUGCACAUCUAGGGCUCACUGAGUCUGGUGAGGAUGGGAAGAGUUAAUUCUGUGUGUGUGCAAAGGAGGGAGGGGAAAUCCAAGGUCCUCACAUACCCAAAAUCUCCAGUGUCUCACUUACACACAGAGCCCCACACCUGCCCCCAAAACCAUUGCCUGCGCACAAAGCUCUUGGCCCAGCCUCUGAAUUUGUCCCAACUCCUGUGUGUGCGUGUGUAUCCAUCCCUCCAUCCAUCCAUCCCUCCAUCCAUCCCUCCAUCCAUCCCUCCAUCCAUCCCUCCAUCCCAGCAGGUCUCAGCCCCUGCCUCCUCCAGGAUCUCUACACAGCAACCAUUUCCAGCAGUUUAUUCGACAGCUACAAGAAAAUAUUCCUGCACUCUCCAGCUCCACGAGGCACAUGACCCGGCCAGUGCCAGUGGAAUAAACAUUUGGAUUUAAUUUAUUAUCUCUCCUGCAGGCUCUGUCUCGGCUGGCGGCUGCAGAGGGGCCGGGGCUGCUCCCUGCCUGCGGGACAGGGCCCGGGGCAGCCUGGCAGCCUUUACCCAACUCCAUGGGAUAUUUUUAUUUUUUUUCCAUUCAAGCCUGUGCAGAAUUCCUGGCAGGACUGGAGCUUUCGUCCAGAUUGCAGAUGCCCAAAAUAUCUGUAUUCUGGGCUGAGCAGACUGAGGCUGAAGUGCCUGUGGUUGGCUGAUUGAAGAGGACAUAGGGCAAUGCAGAAAGACACACAGACAGAGGAAAAGUGCCUGAGCAUGUAUGGCAGCAGUGGGCAAAAGGAUGGGGGAUGCCCCUGGGGUCUGUCCCAUCUCCAGGCAUGGCUCUCACACCAGCAUGGGAUAUUUUUUUUUUUCCCAGUCUGCUGAAGCCUGAGCUCAGUCCAGGGCAUGGUUUUGCCCCAGAUUAGCUUGUGCUACCAGCCAUUAAAUUUGGUUGCAUUGCUGUUAUAUUAUGCUUCUCAUUUUAAAUUAUCUUCUAAACUGUGCACACCUGGCAUCUUCAGGAGCUGGGAUUUGUGAAAUAAAAGUUAAAAUGCCAGUUGGAAUAA